rnacentral:rRNA from 1 species
GACGAACGCUGGCGGCGUGCUUAAUACAUGCAAGUCGAGCGAGGCCCAUCCAGUGGCAACACUGGGGAAGGCCGAGCGGCGAACGGGUGAGUAACACGUGAGCAACCUGCCCCGAAGUCUGGAAUAACAUCGGGAAACCGGUGCUAAUACCGGAUUGCCCCACCUGACCGCAUGAUCGGGUGAGGAAAGAUUUAUCGCUUCGGGAGGGGCUCGCGGCCUAUCAGCUAGUUGGCGGGGUAACGGCCCACCAAGGCGUCGACGGGUAGCUGGUCUGAGAGGACGACCAGCCACACUGGGACUGAGACACGGCCCAGACUCCUACGGGAGGCAGCAGUGGGGAAUCUUGCGCAAUGGGCGAAAGCCUGACGCAGCAACGCCGC